GAUAAACGCUGGCGGCGCACAUAAGACAUGCAAGUCGAACGGACUUAACCAUUAGUUUACUAUUGGAGCGGUUAGUGGCGGACUGGUGAGUAACACGUAAGCAACCUGCCUAUCAGAGGGGAACAACAGUUAGAAAUGACUGCUAAUACCGCAUAUGCCUUAGUAUCGCAUGAUACAAAAGGGAAAGGAGCAAUCCGCUGAUAGAUGGGCUUGCGUCUGAUUAGCUAGUUGGUGGGGUAACGGCCUACCAAGGCGACGAUCAGUAGCCGGACUGAGAGGUUGAACGGCCACAUUGGGACUGAGAUACGGCCCAG
rnacentral:rRNA from 1 species